rnacentral:tRNA from 1 species
GCGGAUGUGGUGAAAUUGGUAGACACACGAGUUUUAGGUGCUCGCGCUAGUGAUAGCGUGUCGGUUCGAGUCCGACCAUCCGUA